UCCUGGCUCAGGAUGAACGCUAGCGGCAGGCUUAAUACAUGCAAGUCGUGGGGCAGCAUGAGUAGCAAUACUUGAUGGCGACCGGCAAACGGGUGAGGAACACGUACACAACCUUCCUUCAAGCGGGGAAUAGCCCAGAGAAAUUUGGAUUAAUACCCCAUAAUAUAUUUGAUAAGGCAUCUUAUUAAUAUUAAAGCUUCGGCACUUGAUGAUGGGUGUGCGGCUGAUUAGAUAGUUGGCGGGUAACGGCCCACCAAGUCUACGAUCAGUAGCUGAUGUGAGAGCAUGAUCAGCCACACGGGCACUGAGACACGGGCCCGACUCCUACGGGAGGCAGCAGUAAGGAAUAUUGGACAAUGGACGAAAGUCUGAUCCAGCCAUGCCGCGUGAAGGAUUAAGGUCCUCUGGAUUGUAAACUUCUUUUAUAUGGGACGAAAAAAGGGCAUUCUUGUUCACUUGACGGUACCAUAUGAAUAAGCACCGGCUAACUCCGUG
rnacentral:rRNA from 1 species